rnacentral:rRNA from 1 species
GCACAAGCAGUGGAGUAUGUGGAUUAAUUCGAAGCAACGCGAAGAACCUUACCAGGUCUUGACAUCGUAUGCAUAGCUCAGAGAUGAGUGAAAUCUCUUCGGAGACAUAUAGACAGGUGGUGCAUGGUUGUCGUCAGCUCGUGUCGUGAGAUGUUGGGUUAAGUCCCGCAACGAGCGCAACCCUUACUGUUAGUUGCUACGCAAGAGCACUCUAGCAGGACUGCCGUUGAUAAAA